rnacentral:lncRNA from 1 species
UUUUUUAGAAAUAAUUUUUACAGUAAGUUAAAAAAGAAUUUGGACAAGUCAGAGCCAUUCCAUCUCAUUUUUGCCAGUUUUGACAUGGGUGUAUAUACACAUAUAUAUUUAUUUAUUUACUGGGUGCUCAUAAACAGGCUUGGCUUCCACCCAAGAAAGGAGUCUAUGCCUUUGCAUUUGGGGCCAUGGUGUUUCAGACUCCUGUUUGUAAACCAUUGCUCAUUGUAUAAUCUUGGACAAAGGCUAACUCCCCUCAUCUGUAAAGUAUUAUGAGAAUAUUAAUAUUUAGUGAUGACUAUGUUGUGGAAGCUUAGGGAGGUGAUCCUGGUAGUGUCUGCAUGGCUCCUGGCACAGGGAUAUGCCUAGUAAAUACCGGCGACUGUUAUUGCUAUAUCUGCCUACUGGCUCCUUUCUCCUAGUGUAUAAACACAUUAAAAAUUUUUCCAUCUUAAAAAAUGUAAUAGCCUGGAAUUAGAGAGACAGCUCAGUGGUUAGGAGUACUUGCUGUACUCCCUACAGGAUCUGAGUUCAUUUCCCAGUCAUUGUGUGUGUCUCCUCUCUCUCCUCUCUCAUGUGUGUGUAUGUGUGUGUGUGUGUGUGUGUGUGUGUGUGUGUGUGUGUAUGUAUGUGUAUACAUCCUUCUCAACUCCCCUUCCCAUACCCUAAAUAAACCCGUAAUAUGGCUGGUACCUCAGAGGGAAGGGAUGUCUCAGCAUGGGCCCACCAAGGCACCCCUCCCACCUCACCAUACCAUGUUCUACAAAACAUACCCUGCUCUUUUUAUAAAAUACAACAUUUGGUGCCAUGACUCAGAUUUAGAAACUUGCAGGUUCACAUUUCCCAAGACUCAGAUUUAUGAACUCAGCACAGGUUCGUAUUUCCCCCUGCCACGUGGACUUUCCAGCCAUUGGAUCGCUAGAACUCUCCAUCCAAAAGCCGGCGAACUAAUAUGUUUCCUAUAUCCACAGUCUUGUUUUAGGACCUCUACACUUGAGUGAGCUCAGUCAGUCUCCUCGAGAUGGUUUCAAAGACAGUUUCUCUCUCUGUUUCUCUCUCACACUGCUGGAAUAUCCUAGGCCCAGGUAAACCGAAAUUCUCUCUUGGACUCUGGCCCCACAGCUUAGGUGCUGGUCCACAGCUCAUCUACUAUUUCGUGAAGACCUUGUAAAUCUCGCCUGGCUGCUCGUUAUUAGCUAUGACUUAUGCUUGGGAUGCAGAAAGUGAUGAUAGUAAUAGCCUCUACUCUCACCUUCUUCUGUACCCCCAGGCACCCCGCUGGGAUGCCUCUGUCACUCAAAGUGAAUGCCUUCACCCUACUACUGAGAUGCCUUCCAGUUUUAAAGGCUUCCUAAUUCACAGGCUAAAUUUGGCCCCAAUAGAUAAUUACUCUAAAUGGCCACUUAUCGAAUCUUUAAAAACAAAAUAAAACAAAAGACAAGAAACUUUCAGACCUAAGCUGGAAAGAUUUCUAUGUAGGCUUUUCCCCUCACCUUUGCUCCCAACCCCCUUUUUCCUUCCCUCCCCACCCUGCUUGCUCCCUACCCUUUGACUUUUAACUGCACUCUCCAGACCUUGUUUUGGACUUAAUUUGCUCUGUCACUGAAUUCUCGGGCUCCUGCAGUCCCCCUCCCACCCCACCCCCCUGUUUGCUUCAGCAGGCAGUCUUAAAGUUUUACUUCUUGGGAAAAUUUUAUCUCUAAUCUCUGAUUUCCUUCCAUUCUGAUCCUUACCAGUUCUAAGAUAGGUAUGCCAGGAGAAGGGGUCACGCAACAGAGGCUGACUGUGGUGAGACCUACUGUCCACCAGACAAAAUGUGUCCAUUUGUUUCUGCUGAUAUAUAGCAACCUUCUGCUGAUCCAUUCUAAGGUAUAACACCUGACUUUCCUCCACAGGAGGUGCUGUCACUUCAGUGCCAUCUUAGCUAAGGGUGGUCACAUGGCUGUCUAUAGCUUCAGCACCAUCUUGGUUAAAGGCAAGCUCGUGACUAUCUGCCAUCUUUGUUAUGGGCAGAUAAGGUUUUUUUCAUAAGCUAUCACUUCAGUGCCAUCUUAGCUAAGGGCAGUCACAUGGCUGACUGUAGCUUCUUUACCAUCUUGGUUAAAGGCAGUCUCAUGACUAUCCACCAUCUUUGUUAUGGGCAGCUCCCACCUCACUGCCUUCUUUCUAUCAAACAAUCUGACUUAAGGUCUCCAAAGACACUUUUAAGAUAAGGUUUUCAUAUAAUUUCUAUCCUGGCUUGGUAAAUAAUUUUAAUAUUAAUUUAAAGAUUUAAAACAAUAAAAAUGUUAAAGAUCACUAUCUUAAAGAUAUUUUUAGCCUUAUUUUUACUAUCAUUAGGUUAUAAUAUACCCUCUUUAUUUGCUAGAUACAAUCUAGGACAAGUAAUUAAAAACAAGCACAGAUUGUUUAACUCAGAUAUGCUUAAAUUUAAGCUUAUUAUGACAGACAGAGACUCCCAAAUGCUCACAGUUUUGCUCCUAACGUCUCUAAGAAUAUAUGGGCACAGCAACAAGACACUGAAAGAACCUAGUGGGGAAACCCCCACUCUGUUCCCGAUUCAGCAUGCACCCAAGAAUCACGAACAGAACAGAACGCCUUGAUGUAAAAACACGAGGUAGUUUAAUAGCAGAGCUCCAGGUCAAAACGUAUCUCACACAGGAGACAGUGGAUUCGACCACGAGGCUUGGAAGCUAGGGGUUUUUAUAGAAAAGGGUCUGGGGAUGGGGGAGGAAUUGGCACGGUUUCACAUGAUUGGUCCAUUUAAACAUCAGCAGACUGUACAUGCAGAUAACAUUUAACUUAGGUCAGAAGGGCGGGAGAUAGGGAGGCGCCGGGCCAGUCGGACUUGUCAUUCUCUUUAUCUUUAUGGCCAAGCAGCCUCAGGAAUGUCUUAACUAUGGGCCUUCCCGGGGAUGUCCUAGCCUGUUCUGCUAUGUUCUCAGCCCCAGGUUUCAAAGCUCACAAACAACUCUUUGGGCUAUUUGACAUAAAUUACAUGAAUCACAGGUCUCAAGUUUUAUAUUCUUUCAACACUACCUGGAUUGUGGUAUGAUAACCACAGAGAAACACCACUGCAUUGCCUUGCCUGCUGCCAGGGCUUGGCCUAAAUUGUGGACAGAGGAUACCCAGAGAGUUAAAUGUCCCAUAUUGCCUAUGACAAGGUGAGUCAUUUCUCCCAUAUUCUUACUCCACAGGAAAAAGCUUUUCAUUUUCUGGGCCUGACAGCUAGGCUGACUCUAUCCAAGUUGUGAUGGAGAGAACAGGGACUGUUUAGAUAGUGGACUAUAAACUAACUUCUGUAAUUUUAAUUAAUAUAUGACA